rnacentral:tRNA from 1 species
AGAGAAGUACUCAAGUGGCUGAAAAGGCGCCCCUGCUAAGGGUGUAGGUCGGGUAACCGGUGCGAGGGUUCAAAUCCCUUCUUCUCUGCCA